CGUUCUAAGGAGCUUGAGGGGUACACCUACCACUUCCGGGAAUUCUCGCGUCGCGAUUUCUCUUAGCGGCAAUGGCGCCGCACUGCUGUGUUCCCCAGUGCACUUCGUCACACAGGAAAAAAUCAAACAGGACAAACCUUUCACCGUUUUCCAGAGGAUAAAGGACUACGUCGAGACUGGAUAAAAAAUAUCAGAAGGGAUCCUGGUCACUGGCAUAAGUACCGUAUCGGAGUCCAACUUCCGGGUUUGUGUACCCCCUCAACGGCGUUCGAGUUUUCAAAAUGGCCGCCAGGUGAAUAAGACGAAUGGAACAUGGCAAGCAAACUUUGGAAUAAAAGGAGAAUUGGAGCGAGGAUCAACAUCAGCGUGGCGUUAACGAAAUGCGACAGCUUUGCGAUGAACUUCGACUUGACAGAUGCCGCUCUAGCACAUUAAUAGACAGCAGACAUUUAUUUUGGAUUUCAAUACCCCUACUAUGGAUACUACUACUACAACAACAACUACAUCAAUGGGCUUCAGUUGCAAUAUAACGGUAACUGGACAGCACUGGUUGGCAUGAACGGUUAUGGCAAUGAAAAGGAGAUGACGCUCUUCGACAACAAAUAUUUUGUUCAAGUCUCUGGAAAGUAUUACUCUGGUUAUAUCUCUGAGCUUAUGUUUGUCACUAAUGAGGGGCACUCUUUUAAAGUGGGGCAGCCUACUGGACUUUCAUUUAACUUCUACCCAACCCAUGAUGGAAGUGAACUACGUUUCCUCAGCGGUCGACAGAAUGGAUUUGCCCUGACCUCCAUUGGGGCUCACUGGGCUGUGUUUAACAACAAUUCCACUGCAUCAUAAAGACAGAAAUGUUUCACAAAUUAUGUGCGGAAAAUGCCAAGUAGCCUACUUUUUUCUGAGCUCUUGAUGAUGAAAUUUUGGAACUUUCUGAGUAAAAUUAAUUUACCAUUUACUUAAUUUAACACUAUAAGGAGACUGGUGUAAACUUAUUUUAUUCCUAAUCAUGCCUUAUGGGCUUCUUUAACACAACAAUUCCUAAAGGCUCUCAAUAAUUUUAGUAAAAAACUUUUUGUGUUAUAUAACAUUUAUGAAAUCAUAUUGUUAACCAAUAUUAACCUAAAUGAACUUUUUUAAUUAUUAUUAUUAAUGACAUCACUAUGAAGGUUAAAAUAUAGAGGUAAAAAGAAGGGCAUUCUGAAAUGCUGGGUGUUACCCUAAAAACCAUUAUGACCCAAAACUGCAGUGUGGAUGAUUCUGGACAAACUCUGUACCGAAUGUAUACAUAUCCUGGAUCUGGAUGAUUUUAAAACUAUUAGACUUGAUUUUACUAACUAUUAAAGUGAUUUUUAUUAAAACUUAUUAAAACAACUGAUAUACUUUUUUUCAUAUGAAGAUCGCAAUAAAACUGACUUAUUAAAAUGUUUAACAUGCCUUUAUCAUUUAUCUUUGUUACUUUCAUCUGCUAUGUAUAGAUUUUAUUGUUUACACUUGGCCCAGACUUUCAAUCAAACUUUACAAAUUCACAAUAUUUAAUACUAUGAUAAUCUAAACCAGGUAUGAACUAAACAUAAAUCCAUUCAAAUAAAAUUUGUUCAAAAGUUCAUGUAAAAAU